CCUCCCCUCACCUCAUAAAUCUCUCCCACAUCUAAACCAAAUCACCCUCUCUCUAUAAUAUUCCUUUCACAAAUCAGUUUCUUUAUUCUACCAAAAAUCUGAAAAAAAAAGAGAGAAACCGUGAGAUGUCUAUCCAACAAAGUUGAGGAGAAACUGACAAUUGAAAUAGAAGCCGAGGAAUUCAUCGAGUUGCUUCCUUUUUUUCAAAAAUCUGCCAAUCAAAGGGGAUAAAAACGGAUAUGCUGAUCUGGACGGUGCGAACACCACAGCGGCGGUGACCGGUCGAUUUGGUACAGGCGACGGAGCUUUAAUUUCUGUAACUUUUGGGUGUCCCCUUCUUGAGAAAUACAGUGGAGAGGGAGAGAGAGUUGUUGGGGAUGAAGAAUGUGAUAGGGAGAGAUGGACGCCGUGUGUGGGCAUGGGGCUCUUUGUCCCCACUGUUUUAUUUGUUUAAUUGAUUUAUUAAUUAAAUAUUGUGAAUCUUGGAUUUAAAAUGUAAA